rnacentral:rRNA from 1 species
GUGUCAGCCGCCGCGGUAAUACGGAGGAUCCGAGCGUUAUCCGGAUUUAUUGGGUUUAAAGGGUGCGCAGGCGGGUUGCUAAGUCGGUGGUGAAAUCCCGGGGCUCAACCCCGGGCUUGCCAUCGAAACUGGUUACCUUGAGUGUGGUGGAGGCAGGCGGAAUUCGUGGUGUAGCGGUGAAAUGCAUAGAUAUCACGAGGAACCCCGAUCGCGUAGGCAGCUUGCCAUACCGUAACUGACGCUCAUGCACGAAGGCGUGGGGAUCAAACAGGAUUAGAUACCCUGGUAGUCCACGCGGUAAACGAUGAUUACUGGUUGUUUGCGAUACACGGUAAGCGACUGAGCGAAAGCGUUAAGUAAUCCACCUGGGGAGUACGUUCGCAAGAAUGAAACUCAAAUGAAUUGACGG